CAGUAGCCGCGGUAAUACAGAGGAUGCAGGCGUUAUCCGGAAUGAUUGGGCGUAAAGCGUCUGUAGGUGGCUUUUCAAGUCCGCUGUCAAAUCCCAGGGCUCAACCCUGGACAGGCGGUGGAAACUACCAAGCUAGAGUACGGUAGGGGCAGAGGGAAUUUCCAGUGGAGCGGUGAAAUGCGUUGAGAUCGGAAAGAACACCAACGGCGAAAGCACUCUGCUGGGCCGACACUGACACUGAGAGACGAAAGCUAGGGGAGCAAAUGGGAUUAGAUACCCCCGUAGUCCCUGUCUCUUAUAC
rnacentral:rRNA from 1 species